CCCGGCGAGUGCAGGCAUCACUGAAGACCUGACAUCAGAGGAAAUCGGACGUCCGCUCUUCUCUCCCUGCAACUGAUUGACCAGGUGUUCAUCUUAAACAAACUUUAUCUCCUUAUGAUGAGGCUGACCAAGCACUCCUGUCGGCGGAGGAUGAGCGCCGCUUUUGCCGCUGGAAGAGACUUUUUGUGUCCAAACGGGGGAAAGGCAGGCAGCGAGACAAUAACACCCCGAAGUUAUUGUAAUAAAUUGCCAUGAAAUGAGCUGACAAAAGAGGGAGAAGCUGAAGAGAAUUGACAGUGUUGGCCUUCACCCAAGAGGCAAGAAGAGGAAGCAGAAGACCCCCUAACUCAAGCGGUGAACUACGAGGAGAACUAGACGAGGUCCAGACAUGAAGGAGGCACGCAAGGAUACACACAAACCCAGUGCAAUGGCACCUAGAGGCUGUCUGCGGUCUACCACCACCCUUCUGCACAUGCACACAGACACGCACACCCCAACACACCCCCGCACUUGCACACAAAGACUGUUACAGUAAGGAACAACAGACCACAGAGUCACGAUGAUAAUCGCAGUUGGAAUUUACGAAAACACAUUCAUUAUCUUUUGCUGCUUUCUUCUUUUACUUCAAAGCCAAAUUCCAAUAAUGAAAUGUAAAACUUACUGCAAAAAAUGUAUAGAAAAUUAUUGAGAAAACAAACUAGAAUAGCAUCGACGUAAAACCAGUUUUCUCCUUUAAAGUCUAGAUGUUUUAAGCUAUUCAAAAUACAUCUUAUGUCAUGUGUUAAUGUUUUUGAGUGUACUUGCCUCAGGGAAAUCUAAAUCUGUUUUUAUCCCCCUUUUUUAUCCAUCUAUUGAACCUAUCCAUACAAGUUUAACCUCCCCACCGCACAUCCCACAACACCUCCGUAACCAACCCACAUAACCCACCCAACGCCCCUCCCAGGCUUCCCAGCAUCCUGCCGAGCACACCCUCCAAAAUAAAUCCUUCAAGACGAAAUUACAGUGCGGCUCUGUGGGAAAACCCUCCCUCUUUUGUAUCUCUGCCCCCCCGACGUCCCUUCCCUAGUCUCCUUGUUAGGCUUCACUUGAUUCAGAGUGCAGAUAAUUUUAUUGUAAAUUAGUCUGGACUAUGGCGACCCACACUAAUUUCAAUCUGUAGCUACAGUUAACUUUAGAAGGUAUGAAUGUAGCCCUCAAUAGAAUCCACCUUUUUUGUGUCUGAUUUUAUGUGAAUGGAAAGAGAGGUUGAUAAUUAGUUUGUUUUAAUGUCUAAAAAGGGGUAAAAAAAAUUCUUAAAUUUUUAAUGAACUACUAAUUAGCAUACUAAUUAAGUUUCUUUGAUUGUCCUCUUUAAAUGUAUCUUCCUGUUAUCACUUUGAGCCACUUGGAACAUACUGAAGAGGCUACAACUCCUCAGGCUUUUUGUGGAACAAAAAGAAUGUGCAUGUUUUAGUAUUGCCUUCGGAUUUUUAAACGUUAUCCAGUGGCCACAGUUAUCUAGAAAUAAAUGUGGCUGUCAAGAGUUAAGAUCACCAAGGCUGUCAAAUUUGAGCUAAUUAUACGAAUUUGGAACUUAAACUGAAUUAAAAAAUAGUCAAAUGCGAGCUAUUUAGAUGAGAAAGCAGCCCUGGUCAUUUCCAGCGUUUGGGUUAACUGACGAAGCCAACCUCACAGCGGCCGUGUCACAGUUAAGCUUUAAUGAUACACUCCAUCAGUUCAGCUUUUUUCCUGCGCGAGGCCAGCUUGGUUAACAGUCGGUCGAGGGUGUGUGUGUGUGUCUUGGUGUGUAGGGGUGUGUGUACCAACUAUUAAAGCACUUGAGAAUCAGAGAGGAAAGAACUCACGCUGCUAAUGGAUGUGUCUAUUGAUGUUCCCAUUUGGCGGCACACUGUAAACGAUAGGGCAAUGAUUGUGCUGAAGAUGGAAGGUGGUGGUGGUGGAGGCGUGGAGUGGAGAGGAGAGCGGUUUGGCUUGGCGAUGAUAAUGACAAGGAAGGUUAUUAUUCAGCACCCCAUGGAGUCUCUCUCUUUUUUGCUGGGGUGUGUGUGUGUGUAUUUGAGAGAGAGAGAGAGGAAGAGGAGUGGUACUCAUCCUCCAUGUCUCUCAGUGAUGUUGCCUUCCCAGUCCAUUGGCUAUUAUUAACUUCUCGCUUUUCCUCUCCCACCCUACACCUCUCCCGACAUUACUUACUGUUGCUGCUCUUCAUCCAAUCAUGGCUGUCUCUUUACCAUAAACACCUCGUUUUCUUUUUGUAAACACUCCAUAUUUUUUUAAUCUACUGUGCAUAUCAUUCAUAACAACGAGUAAAGUAGUCUAAAGGGUAGAAGUAAAAGACAAUACUGUGAGCAAAGAAGACAGUUGCGUUCUCAACACAGCUAGGGCCAGUAUGUGGUUAGGAUAGGGUAAACUUGUUCAUUGAAAAACUGAACCAUAUAGCAUCAUAAGACUGCUUUAAUUUGAGUAAACUUACAGCUUCCCCCACUGAAAAAAAUCAACUAAUUUCUCAUUAUGGAUGUAACUGUAAUAUUUUAUAUUCCAUUUAUUAAUGGCUAUUUUGGUAUUCAUAAAUAUACACAUUAUGUGCACCUAUCUAAAAAAGAAAAGAAAAAAUGUCAGCUAAAUUUUGGGGUAGACUAAAAAGCUGGCUCGGUAGCCAGACUACAGUUGUUUGCUUAUCAGUCAUGUUGCUAGUAACUUGACAUCUAUCGUGUGAAAAUAGUGUUACCUUUAUAAGAUGGCAAGCUGGUGCGAAAUAUUUUCAGCCAAAUCCGUCUCUCUUGUAAAAUACAGUAGCUUUCUUUCAGCCAGCUGACAGUCAACAAAGGGUGAGGGGCAGCGCUAUUACUCUAUCCAUAAAAAAAAAAAAUACUUUAAACUUGUAAAUUGUUUUUUAAUUUUUGUACCUUGUAUAAGCAAACCUUGCCUAGUCUAACCAGUGAAUCACUCUCCGGUAGAUUUCUUUUGUUUUUUACCCAACUGUGUGCGUGUAAGAAGGUGUGUGUGUGCGUGUGUGUGUGUGUGUGUCUGUUUGUCUGUCCUGUCAGUUCCAAUCAGUGUGUGCGUGUGAUGAAUAUGAAUAGUCAACCUCCCUGCAGGUUUGGCAGGAGACCACCUCCAGCUGGACUCAGACCCCUGCUCAAGUGUCUUGGUGUGUGUUUUGUGAGUGCGGUUGUACAAGUCAGUUUGUAUCUGUCAGCGCGGUGACAACCUCAGGGGGAAAUGACAAACUAUGCAUGCAAAUCACAGAAAAUGAAUGCUUCAAGCUCAUUUUAAAAUGUUUAUUUUUUAGAUUUUUGUCAUAAAGUGCAUAGAUAAAUUCUGAGAUCUGUUAAAAUUGUUACAUUUUUGCAAGUUUCACAUCCAUCUUUCCUUCAGUAGUCCCAAGUUUCUUUUUUUAGGCACUUUAAUCUUCUUCCAUAUGAGUUUUUAGUCCUUUUUUAUUUGUAGAAGAUUUAAAUAAUUUCCAAAAAUAUCUUGUCCUUGCAGUAAGAAUCCAUCUAUCAUUCUGUGAGCGUGUGUGUCUAUAAUUGCAGUGCAGCAGAUAAAGAAGGAGACGCCAUUCCAGCUGUGAGGAGACAGAAAGCGUCGUGUACACACGGCCACAAUAAACACUGCACACACUGACGCACUUGCACAUACACACAGCAGGUGGGGGUUGAGUGCAAGCAGGUGAGCAUUAAGUCAGGGUGCUAAACAGAUCACGUCGCGGUGUGAUAUCUGCAGACAGAGGAGGCCGGUCUGUACCUGCAGGCUGAGCGCGGCGAUUCGCAGCACCCUCGCCAGGAAUUUCCUCCAACUCCUGGGAGGAGGGUGGGUUGAAGGUGAAAGACGGGUGCAAACUGCGGCUUCUGCUAUUUUUCUUCAAAGCUACAUCUUGUUAACCUUAUUAAAUCUGAAAUUGCUGUAGUUAACAUUUUUGAACAGUUUAAAUUCAUCUUAAUGAGUAGGUUUUGUGGAAAAAUUUUAUUUUUAAAGAUUGAAAACACUCUACAGUAUGUCUUAAGGCUAAUUGCACUUUUAAAAAUAGUUUUACAUUUUCACAUUAAUUAAGUUAUUUGUGGAAAUAUUUGUUUUUCACCUUUAAUGUUUCUAUUUUAGCAUAGAAACCUCGCCUGUUUCAUGUUAUUUUUAAAUUUUAUGCAUAUUUUCCCUCCAGGCAAAAGCUCACACUUGCAAGCCUAAAAUUAGCUUGCGUGAUGAAACGACGCGGAGAAAUCAGAUUGACAGCGGUGGAGAAAAAUAGGUGCAAAAUCUCCGCAGACGCUCCAUGUUUUGGUAGAACACAUAUCUGUCCCUACGUUCUGUAAAACUCAAAUAAUGAAAGGACAGAAAAAUAAAUAAAACAGUGUGUUCACAAGUUUGUCAAAAGGAGCAAAAUUCUCAGAGCGUUUAAUCACCUCCUGUAUGAUUCGCCUGUCUGGAAUUACUAGUCUGUUCUGACAGAGUCCACGGUGCUAAUUGUGAAACGCUGACAGUGCUCAUUACACAAACCUGUCUUACGAAUUUCCUGGAACAUUGUCAGGGCUCCCUUUUGUUAUUUUCUUUCCCCUUUUUAUCCUUGCACCCAGUCUGCUGAGGAAACAUGGCCAUUAUCAGUGCCGACAUGUAUCACCUACUUCGCUACUCGACCUUAAGAAAAAUCCUCUGUAGUUUUGUUCUGUUUUCUGCUCGUCGCCGCUCAGAUGCGCUGAAUCAACUGCAUGGAGUAUUAUUGACAAGGAAAUUUGCAAUUUGAGUUUUGAAAGAAAAGGGACAUUUCAGUUCAUGUCUUAAACAAAUUCGUUCUUUUCACUGGCUCUUUGGUCACAGCCUCAUCUAGUCACCUCGUUUUAAAAUGAUGCUGUUUAAUUAAGUAAUUCCCGUUAUUGCCCAUACUCUCUGAACUCUUCUCUCUCCUUAUUCUUCAGGGGUCAAAUUAAUAAUUUUUGAAGUAAGGUUCUGUUAAGUGGCUAUAAGCAGUUGCAGCUGGAAAUAACUCACAUGGUGUCUUCAUUCUGUAUAAUUUCAGAUUGCUUGGCCCCGAGUGCUUAAAUGGUAAGUGGACUGAACUUAUAUAACGCUUUUCCAGUCAUUUUGACCACUCAAAGCGUUUUACAAUAUGGAACAGAAACUAACUACUAUCCAAGAAGGGCCAAGACUAAAGUGGACUUCUAGGUCCUUAUAGAAACCCCAAUCUCAUAAUGUUUAAUGCAAACCCUAUUUUAUAUACCUUUAAGCUCUUUGGACUUAGUGGCUGUUUUACAGCAGCUGACAAUGAUUUCCACAGGAAAUGAAAGUGCAACACCAAUUAAUUUCCUGUGUGAAACUCUUAUUGAGAAUGGAAGCAUGUCCAUUCAGAGUAACUCUCUGAUAUAAAGGGAAGGGGUGUAAAACACACAAAUAUUAAAGCAGUUUAUGAUUGAAGGACCUUGUUUUGUAUAUAUUUUUAUUGAUUUUUCCACUGGUUCACGUCUCUGUUACGUAUGUACUUGGAAACACUUACAUGCUCCAUUUUCACGUUACACAGAGGAAGCCUGUGUUAACUGUUAUAAAUAAGCAUUAGCCUUACUGUCCAAUAUAUAUGUAAUUACAGUGUAGAGGUUCAUAAAAUGGUAAAUGAAUAGUCAAUGAAGACAGAAAGAGUGUAAUAUACUUCUGAUAUAUUUAUGUGCUUUUAAACUUUUACAGAACUUUGCUUCAACAAUCCUAAACUUUUUCAGUAAGAUCGUUUUUAUUGUCUGUUUCAAAGCUCCCUAUAUUUAGCCAAAGUCUCAGCUCCCCCCAACCCGUCCACUUAUCUAAAAAUGAUUCAGUGGUUAAAUGUCAGAGCUGUCCGUACCAUUAAGGCCAGCGUGUUUGAAGGAAGGACACCUCCCCCUCCUUCUUCCUCUGUCUCUUUAAAUCCCCUUCUCCCCCCCGUUAGCUCCCACAUCAUCCAGCACCCCCUCACCAUCGCUCCAACCAGGCUGGUUAGAGGGCUGAUGUGCAGGCCUUGUCAUUCAGAUUAAGGCCACAUUGUCAGCUCAGGGCUCUUCUCUCUUUAGUUUCGUGUCCCGUUUCUUUCUUCCCACUGUCAGCCACCCCGUCCCGCGGCCAGAAAAGACCUUAUAAAGCUACGCUCUCUCUCAUCCACUUCUGUCAAUUCAAACACUGUCACUCACACCACCAUUGGGGGUUUGUCGCAGCAAGGACUAUUUGUUUAUAUAUAAUGUUGGACAUGUUUUUCUAUGUAGAUAUAUAUUUCAUCAGCUAACAGAGUUGUAGACUUGAUUUCUUUUUUUUUGGGCGGGGGGGUUCCUUUGAAGUGAAGAGAUCUUCGUCAGGUACAAAUAAAAUGACAGCAGUGGCAUGAGAUGUGAGGGUAAAAAGAGGCGGCAUACUCCUCUCCACAAGUCUUAGUACUCUUUGUAGUAAAGACAGCAAAAGCUGUUAUUUUUAAAUCAAAGUUGUAUGAGUGCAGGGGUAUUUAGAGAGGGAUUGGCAGGUGGUGACACAUUCAACCAGAUUGCCUUAGUCACUCCUUAUCCUGCUCUGUUAAAGCAUCCCAGAAUGAUAUUUAUCACCCAAAUGAAUCUUGACUCAUCAGCGUAGUUGCUCUCACGUCCUGUCUUAUUUACUACAGCAGCUCUGUGGCAUUUGAGUUUCAUGCUUCUUACUGUCUGCGCAUUUUUCUUUCCUUCCCAAGAUGAGCAAUGAUUCAGCACUGUCUAAGAUGGUGGACAGUUUCUCUCUUGGUUUUAGUGCAAAGAGAGGAAACAAAUAAAAAGCACAUUUGAGCCUUUCAGUCCUCAGACUCAGGGGACCACAUCAUAACGAAACAGCAAGCGUUACUGAUCGGGGUGAGUCGGCAGUUUCAUACCCGUUCUCUCCCUCAUCCUCAAACUUGCGCUGAAGCCUUUGAGGCAUGUCGAUGCUCCUCUAGAGGCCGAGCAGCUGUGCUUCAAAACAGGAAAGAAAAAAAAAAAGACAGAAAACUGCAGCUCCUGCCCAGGUGCUCUGUUAACCAAGAACUACUAUGAGUCAGGAGUUUCAAGAUGACUUUCUUUGUGUAACUGCUACUUUCAGCAAAGUAAGACAUGUUCCCAUGCACUCACCGUCUGUGUAAUUUUGACCGUAUUUCAUGGAAGUUAAAUCGUACUUGUAUUACUGGUUGGUUUCUAAGAUUUAAAGAAAAGGUGAGUCAAAGUUGUUUCUUUUUUCAUGGGCUGCGGUGGAAGAAACUACUGGGGGAGGAAAAAUCUUCGCAAAGUCAUACACUUGUUUUUGUGUCACAUUUGUUUUUUGUUUUUUUAUUAUUUAAAGAAAUGUUUUGGAUAUUUCAAUCAAAAUGACCAAAAUGUAAUAUGUUAUUGUCAUGCAACUGGGAACAACUCCACUAAUACACAGUUAUGUUAUUGAUACCCUUGGCAGAUUUAGGGUUUAAGUAAUUUUAUCAACAUGUUUCUUUUGUCUGUUAUUAUUUUGAAGUGACCCAGACAGAGUUCCAACUUGUAACUGAUAGGGAAUUUGUUGAAGGAACUAAAGAUUAGGGUGAUGGCAUUUAUGUCAAAGAUUUGGAGCUAAUCUUGGACAAUAAAUCAUCAAGAUGAUGAUUUAUCAUCUUGAUGAUGAUGAUUUAUUGUUCAUAAAUCACUAGAAGCUCUUAUUAGUAAUUAUAGAAAGGUGUGAUUGCUUUAAUGCUAAUAAAGAUCUCAAAUUGAUUAUUGGGAAGAAUUUGUACAUGCUAUUUAUUUUAUUAAAAUAAACAAAACUUUAUAUAUGAAAUUAACACUUUUGUAUUUUCUUAUCUAUCAAGAGAAGACUUUCCCAUUUUCUCUUGGUCGAAUGAAGCAAGUUUUAUGUCUAAAUCUGCCAUAGGGAUGAAUAAAGUUGAGCUUUACGUAACCAGUUCAAGCAUUGGUUAGCACAUAAUCAUUAAAUGUCCACGAUGUUGUUGUCAUUGGUAAAGCUCCCAUGAUCUUUUCUGUUUACUUCCAAAGAAUGAAAGAAAGAUUUAGUUCAUGAAUAUGCAAGGUAAAAGUUUCUCCACCCACAGAGCAGCCACGCUUCGCCCUCAUUUCUAAGCAGACUGUCAUCUCUGGUCACCGUCCGGUUCAUGCUUCCCUCAGUGAACAUUCAACGCUGUCGAUGAAGAUAAAGCCCCACCAUACGAAUUAGAGGAAGAACGGCUGAUGACUCCUUGGGAAGGAAAACAAUCCGGACAUACUUCCAGCUUUCUAAAUCACAGCAAAGGUCACAAUCAACAUUCAUUGCUGUCGGUGGGUUUGACUUUGUGGAAGAGCUCACUGAACGAUGAAUGCAACUGUGUCCCAGAUUUCAUCCGACCGUCACAAGGAAUGUUGUCACGGCAUGCUGAUGAUGGCGUUAUUUAUUUCGCCUGUCUCUCUCCCUCAGCUACCGUGAUGCUGGUGGUGUGAACUGCCUUGUUGACAGUUUGGCUUUAGGAGCAACAGAAGAAAAGACAAUAAAACUACACUUGGGACAUGAAAUACUAGACAUGACUUUGUUGUGAACUUUGAACUAAAUGGAAAUGUUUUAUUUUUUGUGCACAUUGUAAUUGGACUAGUUGGUAUGUUAAGGUAUAAAACGGCAUAAAUCAGGUGGUCUUCAUUUCUGUGAUGUUUCCAGGAAUUAAGUUACUACGAUACAUAAGAAUUUCAAUUCACUCUGUGUUCCUAAUUCUUAACACAUCGCAUGCACUGUCUUUGAUGAAUUUCAAUAAAUCAUCACACUUUCAGAUCUCA